CUUAAUAUUUCUGUGGAAGGUCUAAGUCAAGCUACUAUACUAUGUAGCACUAACUCUGUGACGAAGAGCGUGUCUAUGAAACUAAAAAUGGGUACGACUUCUUGUUUGGAGGGUGCUGGAAAGACCUCCAUAUUAUGCACUGUGGUGGCAUAGCAUGAACACUGAUAUCAACAAUUUUUUUUCCAGACAUCAAGUGUCAUGAAAGCGUUUCAUGCAGUGUAGGAUACAUAGAUUCAGUAGGCGUUAACUUUCAGGACCUAUCAUAUGAAGAAGAGCAGCUGAAGAAUGGUUUGUUGAGAGCAGAUCCAUAUAAAGCCUUGACUUGGUAAUUAUCGUGCACAAUCUGGCUCACAAGAGUCCCAGGCCGCGACAACAGGCUGCCGAUCACUCUCGACCAGCUCUUGGCACCCUCCUGGACGAGAUCACUACUGCUGAGGUCCCUUUUGUUUUAGAUCUUGCCAUGAGUGCCGACUGGCAUCAGCUUUCAAGCGUUACAGCCAUGGACGUGUACAAGUCCACUCCCGACUUGACAAAGUCCCAGGAACUGCAGAGACUGGGACAUCGUUGGAGGAAGGUCUCUUUUUUAUAUCGAUUUUUUGUUUUCACCAUUUUUGCAGAAAAAAUUAUUGGAGAUGAUCUGGAUAAGGAGAAGUGGCAAUUGAUCGUUUGUAGUACCUCCAAGCAUGACCUGAAAAGGGUGGUUAGUCUGAAGAGGUUAGAGUGAAAUGUAACUUUGUUUUCCCAGCUAGCUUGGGCGGAGUAUGGAUUGAUGAAUUGGCUAUCAGAAAUAUACAGAGCUAUCCAAGGUUUACAGUU